GAUGAACGCUGGCGGCGUGCCUAAUACAUGCAAGUCGAGCGAACAGACGAGGAGCUUGCUCCUCUGACGUUAGCGGCGGACGGGUGAGUAACACGUGGAUAACCUACCUAUAAGACUGGGAUAACUUCGGGAAACCGGAGCUAAUACCGGAUAAUAUAUUGAACCGCAUGGUUCAAUAGUGAAAGACGGUUUUGCUGUCACUUAUAGAUGGAUCCGCGCCGCAUUAGCUAGUUGGUAAGGUAACGGCUUACCAAGGCAACGAUGCGUAGCCGACCUGACAGGGUGAUCGGCCACACUGAGACUGAGCCACGGUCCAGACUCCUACGGGAGGCAGCAGUAGGGAAUCUUCCGCAAUGGGCGGAAGCUUGACGGAGCAACGCCGCGUGGGUGAUGAAGGUCUGCGGAUCGUAAAACUCUGUUAUUAGGGAAGAACAAAUGUGUAAGUAACUAUGCACGUCUUGACGGUACCUAAUCAGAAAGCCACGGCUAACUACGUG
rnacentral:rRNA from 1 species